rnacentral:rRNA from 1 species
AUAUACGACCGUACCGCAAACCGACACUGGUGCGCGAGAUGAGUAUUCUAAGGCGCUUGAGAGAACUCAGGAGAAGGAACUCGGCAAAUUGACACCGUAACUUCGGAAGAAGGUGUGCCCUAUUAGUGUGUAGUGAACAACGAAGCAUGAAUGGGUUGCAAAAAAUCGGUGGCUGCGACUGUUUAUUAAAAACACAGCACUCUGCAAACACGAAAGUGGACGUAUAGGGUGUGACGCCUGCCCGGUGCUGGAAGAUUAAAUGAUGGGGUGCAAGCUCUUGAUUGAAGUCCCAGUAAACGGCGGCCGUAACGAUAACGGUCCUAAGGUAGCGAAAUUCCUUGUCGGGUAAGUUCCGACCUGCACGAAUGGCGUAACGAUGGCCACACUGUCUCCUCCUGAGACUCAGCGAAGUUGAAAUGUUUGUGAUGAUGCAAUCUCCCCGCGGAAAGACGGAAAGACCCCAUGAACCUUUACUGUAGCUUUGUAUUGGACUUUGAACAGAUCUGUGUAGGAUAGGUGGGAGGCUUUGAAGCAGGGUCGCUAGAUCUUGUGGAGCCAACGUUGAAAUACCACCCUGGUGUGUUUGAGGUUCUAACCUAGGUCCAUUAUCUGGAUCGGGGACAGUGCAUGGUAGGCAGUUUGACUGGGGCGGUCUCCUCCCAAAGCGUAACGGAGGAGUUCGAAGGUACGCUAGUUACGGUCGGACAUCGUGACGAUAGUGCAAUGGCAUAAGCGUGCUUAACUGCGAGACUGACAAGUCGAGCAGAUGCGAAAGCAGGACAUAGUGAUCCGGUGGUUCUGUAUGGAAGGGCCAUCGCUCAGCGGAUAAAAGGUACUCUGGGGAUAACAGGCUGAUACCGCCCAAGAGUUCAUAUCGACGGCGGUGUUUGGCACCUCGAUGUCGGCUCAUCUCAUCCUGGGGCUGUAGCCGGUCCCAAGGGUAUGGCUGUUCGCCAUUUAAAGAGGUACGUGAGCUGGGUUUAAAACGUCGUGAGACAGUUUGGUCCCUAUCUUCCGUGGGCGCUGCAGAUUUGAGGAAGCCUGCUCCUAGUACGAGAGGACCGGAGUGGACACACCUCUGGUGUAUCGGUUGUCACGCCAGUGGCAUUGCCGAGUAGCUAAGUGUGGAAGAGAUAACCGCUGAAAGCAUCUAAGCGGGAAACUCGUUUCAAGAUGAGAUCUGCCGGGGCCUUGAGCCCCCUAAAGAGUCGUUCAAGACCAGGACGUUGAUAGGUCAGGUGUGGAAGCGG